rnacentral:rRNA from 1 species
UACGGGGGGGGCAAGCGUUGUUCGGAAUUACUGGGCGUAAAGGGCUCGUAGGCGGCCAACUAAGUCGGAUGUGAAAUCCCCAGGCUCAACUGGGGAACUGCGUCCGAUACUGGAUGGCUUGAGUUUGGGAGAGGGAUGCGGAAUUCCAGGUGUAGCGGUGAAAUGCGUAGAUAUCUGGAGGAACACCGGUGGCGAAGGCGGCCUUCUGGACAGUGACUGACGCUGAGACGCGAAAGCGUGGGGAGCAAACAGG